rnacentral:lncRNA from 1 species
GGAACUCUCAAAGAGGUAACAAACUUCCUACCAGUAUUUAUGCUUAAGCAGAAGUUAGCUAUGGCUGGGAGCUGUAGUGGACUUGAGAACCAGACAGGUCUAGGAGACCUUGAAGAGGUUGUCCAACAGAGAUUCUGUGAUCAUGUAUCCAGCUUCAGGAAUCCAUGGACCUGAAAUGCAGUCUGUUUUAUCCACUCCCUUGGGCAGAUGGGAAAAGAAAACCAUAGGCUUUGAAGAGGGUGGUGGGAACUUGCUUAGCGCAGAGUCCCUGAGCCAAGAGCGUGAAUGCAGUUCGCCUUGGUUCCCACUGCUUGGAUUCAGUUCUUCCCCAGGGCAAGAUGGCGAUUGCAGUAGCAGGGAUGGGGUGUCUGCUAUUUUCCUAGAGCUUCCAUAACAAAGUACCUCAGAUCAAGUGGCUUUAAUCACAGGAAUUUAUCGUCUCCCAGUUAUGAAGGCUAGAGGGCUGGAACCAAGAUGUCGCAAGCCCAAUGCGUCCUCUGACGGUGCUAGGGAAGGAUCUGUUCCAGGCCUUACUCCAGCUCCUGGUGGUUUCUUGGCUUGUGGCAGCAGCACUCCAAUCUUCACAGGGCAUCUCCCUGUAUGUGUGUCUCUACAAAAUUUCCCUUUUUUCAUAUUGGAUUAGGGUUGUACCCUACUCCAGCGUGAGCUCACCUUAACUAAUUACAUCUGUAACAACCUUAUUUCCAAAUAAGAUCCCAGUCAUAUUGGAUUAGGGGUCUACUUUAUCCCAGUGUGAUCUCAACUAAUUACAUUGGCAACGACCUUAUUUCCAAAUAAGAUGCCACUCUGAGAUACCGGAGGUGUUAGAAUUUCAACAUAUAAAUUUUGGUGAAACGCAAUUCAACUCAUAACAAGGUAUGAAAAGAUGGGCUAUAGAAUGGUUGGUUUGAUUAUAGGACCCAGCAGAGGUUUCAGAUGGUUUUGAUAGGUGUGAAACAACUCUAAAUUGUUCCAGUCUGAGCCACUCACUCCCCCAUCAAUCUGCUCUAUGUAAAGCCCCAAGCAGGUAUUUCCUUUUUUUUUUUUUUAAACUCUAACAGUAUUUGAAGUGGGCAUCACAGUUUAGCCCUUAAUGACAGUCCUUAUACUAGUGUUUUGUUCCUGCAAAGAAACUACUACUGAGCACUUAAUAUAGAAGAAGUAUGUGAUCUAUACAAUAUCUCAAUUAGCCAUGACUCUGUGAAAUAGUAUCAAUCCCAUUUUGCAGGUGAAGAAAUAGAUGUUGAGAAGAUAUUUGGUAACAUGCUGAAAGCCACACAGCUAGCAGCAGCAGAACGGGGAUUUGGACCCCUGUCUAUUUGGCUGUAAAGUUCAUUUUCUCUCCGAUAUACCAGGGACAGGAUCUCUCUCUCAUCCUGACUGGAGUACAGUGAUGACAUCCCAGCUCACCGCAGCUUCGACUUUCCAGGCUCAGGUGAUCCUCCCACCUCAGUCUCCUGGGAGACUACAGGCUCUUGAUCCAUUCCUAUGGUGGGUGACAUAAUGGCCCUUCCGAAGAUGUCCGUGUCCUAAUUCCUGGAGCCUGUGAAUACACUGGCUGCAUGGCAAGGGUGGAGAUUAAGGUUGCAGAUGGAAUGAAGGUUCCAGCUCACCUUAAAAUAGAGAUUAUCUUGGGUUAUCCGAGUGGACCCAGUGUAAUCACAAGGUUUCUUUAAAUGUGAAGGAGAGAGGCAGGAGAAGAUCUACCCUGCUGGCUUUGAAGUUGGAAGGGUGCCACAAGCCACAAGUGAAGGAAUGUGGGCAGCCUCUAGAAGCUGAAAAAGGCAAGAAAGUGGAUUCUUUCUUAAAACACCCAGAAGGGAACACUGCUCUGCAGGCACCUUGAUUUCAGCCUUGUGAGACCCAUUUUGGACAUCUGACC